rnacentral:rRNA from 1 species
AGAGUUUGAUCAUGGCUCAGGACGAACGCUGGCGGCGUGCCUAACACAUGCAAGUCGAGCGGGGGGAGUUCUUCGGAACGAACCUAGCGGCGGACGGGUGAGUAACACGUGGGCAACCUGCCUUGAGGAGGGGGAUAACAGGAUGAGAGUCCUGCUAAUACCGCAUAACCCGGUGCUGUCGCAUGAUGGCAUCGGCAAAGGAGCAAUCCGCCUCAAGAUGGGCCCGCGGCGCAUUAGCUGGUUGGUGGGGUAACGGCUCACCAAGGCGACGAUGCGUAGCCGACCUGAGAGGGUGAUCGGCCACAUUGGAACUGAGACACGGUCCAGACUCCUACGGGAGGCAGCAGUGGGGAAUAUUGCACAAUGGGCGAAAGCCUGAUGCAGCAACGCCGCGUGAGCGAUGAAGGCCUUCGGGUUGUAAAGCUCCGUCUUCGCUGACGAAACCUGACGGUAAGCGAGGAGGAAGCCACGGCUAACUACGUGCCAGCAGCCGCGGUAAUACGUAGGUGGCAAGCGUUGUCCGGAAUUACUGGGCGUAAAGGGUGCGUAGGCGGUCCUUUAAGUGGGAUGCGAAAUCCCUGGGCUUAACCCAGGAACUGCAUUCCAAACUGGAGGACUAGAGUGCAGGAGAGGAAAGCGGUAUUCCCAGUGUAGCGGUGAAAUGCGUAGAGAUUGGGAGGAACACCAGUAGCGAAGGCGGCUUUCUGGAAUGUAACUGACGCUGAGGCACGAAAGCGUGGGGAGCAAACAGGAUUAGAUACCCUGGUAGUCCACGCCGUAAACGAUGAGUACUAGGUGUGAGGGCGUAAGCCUUCGUGCCGUAGUUAACACAUUAAGUACUCCGCCUGGGAAGUACGAUCGCAAGAUUAAAACUCAAAUGAAUUGACGG